UGGCGAUGACCUGCAGCGG
rnacentral:misc_RNA from 1 species